AUGCACGCUGGCGGCGUGCCUCAUACAUGCCAGUCGAGCGAACGGACGAGAAGCUUGCUUCUCUGAUGUUAGCGGCGGACGGGUGAGUAACACGUGUAUAACCUACCUAUAAGACUGGGAUAACUUCGGGAAACCGUAGCUAAUACCGGAUAAUAUUUUGAACCGCAUGGUUCAAAAGUGAAAGACGGUCUUGCUGUCACUUAUAGAUGGAUCCGCGCUGCAUUAGCUAGUUGGUAAGGUAACGGCUUACCAAGGCAACGAUGCAUAGCCGACCUGAGAGGGUGAUCGGCCACACUGGAACUGAGACACGGUCCAGACUCCUACGGGAGGCAGCAGUAGGGAAUCUUCCGCAAUGGGCGAAAGCCUGACGGAGCAACGCCGCGUGAGUGAUGAAGGUCUUCGGAUCGUAAAACUCUGUUAUUAGGGAAGAACAUAUGUGUAAGUAACUGUGCACAUCUUGACGGUACCUAAUCAGAAAGCCACGGCUAACUACGUG
rnacentral:rRNA from 1 species